rnacentral:rRNA from 1 species
UGGGGAAUUUUGGACAAUGGGCGCAAGCCUGAUCCAGCCAUGCCGCGUGCAGGAUGAAGGCCUUCGGGUUGUAAACUGCUUUUGUACGGAACGAAAAGACCCCUUCUAAUAAAGGGGGUCCAUGACGGUACCGUAAGAAUAAGCACCGGCUAACUACGUGCCAGCAGCCGCGGUAAUACGUAGGGUGCGAGCGUUAAUCGGAAUUACUGGGCGUAAAGCGUGCGCAGGCGGUGAUGUAAGACAGAUGUGAAAUCCCCGGGCUCAACCUGGGAACUGCAUUUGUGUCUGCAUCGCUGGAGUGCGGCAGAGCGGGGUGGAAUUCCGCGUGUAGCAGUGAAAUGCGUAAAUAUGCGGAGGAACACCGAUGGCGAAGGCAAUCCCCUGAGCCUGCACUGACGCUCAUGCACGAAAGCGUGGGGAGCAAACAGG